rnacentral:rRNA from 1 species
UUUUAAAUCUAAAUUUUAUUUUAGUUUAAAAGUUAGCAAUUAUAUUAAAUGUAUAUAACUUUAAAAUUUAACAAGUUUACCAACUUAACAUUUAGAAUUUUAAAACUAGAGAAAUCUAUUAAAAGAAUUUAUUUAAACCCGACCAAUUGGGUGCCAGCAGUUGCGGUUACACCUAAAGUUAACUAACUUAAUAUUUAAAUGUAUUAUAUUGAUCAUACAAGAUAUUAACAAAAUAGAUUAUAAAUAAGUAAAAUUUUUAAAAUUUUAAAAAUCUUGUGAAUAAAAAUUUAAGUUUCUAUUAAAAACUAGGAUUAGAUACCCUACUAUUCGGAAUAAGCAUAAUCAAAGUAGUAAAAGAAGAUCUUCAAACUUAAAGAAUUUGGCGGUAGCUUAACCUAACUAGAGGAAUCUGCUCUAUAAUUGACAAUCCACAAUCUGUUACAUUUUAAAUAAUAAUAUUUAUAUAUCGCUGUUAAACAUAGAUUUAAAAAUGCUAUUUAAGAUCUGUUUAAACUCAUAAAAUCAAGUCAACACAUAAUUUUUGAAAAUGAAGUGGGUUACAUUUAAAUUAGAUUAAUGGAAUAACUUUGUAAAAAAGAUUUUAAAAAGGAUUUAGAAGUAAAUUAAAAUAAAGUUUUUUGAUUAAAUUUGAUAUAAGCUAUGUACAAAUCGCCCGUCAUUCUUAUAUAAAUUA